rnacentral:rRNA from 1 species
AGUGAACGCUGGCGGUGGGCCUAACACAUGCAAGUCGAACGGCAGCACAGUAAGAGCUUGCUCUUACGGGUGGCGAGUGGCGGACGGGUGAGGAAUACAUCGGAAUCUACUUUUUCGUGGGGGAUAACGUAGGGCAACUUACGCUAAUACCGCAUACGACCUACGGGAGAAAGCAGGAGAUCUUCGCACCUUGCGCGUUUGAAUGAGCCGAUGUCGGAUUAGCUAGUUGGCGUGGUAAAGGCCCACCAAGGCGACGAUGCGUAGCCGGUCUGAGAGGAUGAUCAGCCACACUGGAACUGAGACACGGUCCAGACUCCUACGGGAGGCAGCAGUAGGGAAUAUUGCACAAUGGGCGCAAGCCUGAUGGAGCAACACCGCGUGAGUGAUGAAGGCCUUCGGAUUGUAAAGCUCUGUUAUUAGGAAAGAAAAAAAGCGGAAGAAUAUACGGAUGUGUUGACGGUACCCAAAGAGUAAGCACCGGCUAACUACGUG